UCAAGUCUAAUGAACUGUUGUAGUUGAGAAAAGGAUUAUGUUGUUGUUGAUAUAUUUUUUUCCAGGUUUUGAUGUUAACUGAUAUUGGAAUGUCGAAAGAAAUUGAAGAAUCCGAGAGAUCUAACUCUGUGUGGGACUACAAAACAUAUGGCUCCGGAAGGUAAUGAAAUGAUAACCUAGAAGGUAAUGAAUUAACGCAAGUCGCGAAUAGCGUCUCUUGAAUUGUUUAGCAUGAUGAUAGGUAACAUAUUUAUCUGCAGAAAAGCAACUGUGUGGAGUGGUUUGAAUUUUGAAUAUUCCAAAAUUGGAAGUGAAGAUAAAAGAAUGUCAAACAUUUCAAUUCCACUUCCACGAACUGGUUUGUCUCCCAUACGCAACUGCUCAGCCAAACUCCGGUCUUUCACCACUUCAUCUGCACCUUUCACAAUUACUUGCAUUGAAGAAUCUGAGUUGAAUGGAUAUAUAUGAAAAUAAAGUAACUUACUUCACUUCAACACAAUCAAGGGAUUUUCCUGUGGUAUUCUUCCAGCUUACACAUUUUCUUCUGCUUCAUUUCCCGUUAUUGUUGCCACUCAGGUUCAAAUUCAACUUCGGUACCAACAACAAAACAUUGAUUUCGUUUUAUUUAUUUAAUUUUAAAAUUAUUAUCAACGUCGACGUGUCAAUUUUGGUGUCGUGCUUAUUAUAUAUAUGAAGCAACUGGCAUAGAAUAAGAAACUUUGAAUUCUCUAUUAUGUGAAAAUUAUGAUAUAUAUUCUUUAUUUUCUUUCUUUUGAUGUUUGAUCAAGUGCAAAUUUUUAAGUUUCAGUAAUGUAAAUCAUUAAGUUUCAGUAAUGUGUUCAAACAUGGAUGAAUUCAAAGGACAAGCUCGUCUUCCUAAUUUUGUUGUUCCAAAAUGUUACGACAUUAAGCUUAAACCUGACCUCAUCGAAUUCCGUUUCUCCGAUUCCGUCGCCGUCGAUCUCGACAUCAUCACUGCUACUCAUUUCAUCGUUCUCAAUGCCGCUGAACUCACCGUCGGUAACGACGCCGUUUCAUUCACCAACCGCCAUUCCUCUAAGUUACUACUUUCAUUUCUCAACUCUUUUUGGUCAUCUUGAGUUUUUCUGUUACCAUUAUUUUUUUCUGAAUUAGGAUUGAUGAAUGUCUAUGUUGUAGGUUUUCAAACCUUCAAAAGUUGAAUUAUUUGAAGAUGAUGAAAUUCUCGUCUUGGAGUUUCUGGAGGAAAUAUCUACUUGAUUGGGUGUAUUGACUAUUCAGUUUGAUGGAAUAUUGAAUGAUAGAAUGAAAGGUUUUUACAGAAGCAAAUAUGAGCAUAACGGUGAAGGAUUGCCACACAUUAAAGAGAUGAUUGAUGGUUAUAUACAAAAGGGUCUUUUGUGUGAAGCUUUGGAGGUUUAUCGGGCGAUGCUGCAAACUGGACAUGGACCUAACGAUGUCAUGCUUGUGAAUUUGGUUUCAGCUUGUGGUCGUAGGAAUGCAAUUGUUGAUGGUUGGCAAUUGCAUGGAACAGUUGUUAAGAGAGGCUUUGAUUGUUAUUAUUUUAUACAUACUACAAUCAUCCAUUUUUAUGCAGCCUGUGGGAUGAUGGACCUUGCAUGUUUACAGUUUGAAGUGGGUGUAAGGGAUCACUUAGAAUCAUGGAAUGCUCUCAUUGCAGGAUUCAUAAAAAAAGAAGUUCAAUGAAUUCACAUUUACUUAUUUAUUUAAGGAUGAAGAUGCUGAUACAAACGAGGAAGUUGUAUAGUCAAGAAUGUUGUCUUAGAAUUUCUAUCACGAUACUUCGGUCUUGUUACGGUCUACAUUUAAAAUAGUUGUCAAGAUUAAGAUAACGUGCAUCUUAUGAAUGAUGGCUGCAAUUGAAUUUGAACAGGAUUUAGAGUUAGUGGUAUUUGAAAUUUCUUGGAGGUGGAAGAUUGCUUGCAUGCAUUUCUUUCCGACUUGGACAAUGUGGCUUUGCUGAUGGGUAAUUCUUCUGUUAAUGGUUUGGCUGAAUUGUUUUUAUUGAACCAUAUAGCUUUAUCAUGUUCUUAACUUUUUUUAUGAUUAUGCAACUACAUUUUGGAAGGUAGAGAGUUGGAAUUUUACAUGAAAAAGCUUCAUAAGAAAAAAGGGUGGCUUUGACAUGAUUCCCAGCGGGAGGGACAAGAUUGAAACUCCAGGAUAGGUUGGCCAGUUUAUAUGCUCUAUGGAAUGUUCAUUUGGCCUCUUAUGUAUCUUUUAG